ensembl:snRNA U6 U6 spliceosomal RNA
GUGCUCACUUUGGCAGCACAUAUAUUAAAACUGGAAUGAUAAAGAGAAGACUUGCUUGCCUCUGUGACAAGGAUGACACACAAAUUCAUGAAGUAUUCAGUAUUUUU